rnacentral:rRNA from 1 species
UACGGGGGAUGCAAGCGUUAUCCGGAUUUAUUGGGUGUAAAGGGCGUGUAGGCGGGAAUGCAAGUCAGAUGUGAAAACUAUGGGCUCAACCCAUAGCCUGCAUUUGAAACUAUCGUUCUUGAGUGUUGGAGAGGCAGACGGAAUUCCUAGUGUAGCGGUGAAAUGCGUAGAUAUUAGGAGGAACACCAGUGGCGAAGGCGGUCUGCUGGACAGCAACUGACGCUGAGGCGCGAAAGCGUGGGGAGCAAACAGG